CUUUUAUUUUACUCCUUGAUUACUGUCUCUCGUUUUUCUUCCCUCCCUUUGCAGCCAGUCCAGCCAGAUGGGUUUCCAGGCUUGGCUGCCCCUGCCAUUGCCAAGGCAGCUGGUGGUGUUCGGGCUGGGAGACUGGAGCUGUUACUCUCCGGACACGAGCAUCGCGGUGGAUGUGCUGGUGUCCCCAGGCGUCGCACCACAGCGGGUCGGCACGCUGGAGCCCACCCGCAGGUCUCUGGUGUGGGAAGAUCACUGGAGAACAGAUAUUUUCAUGGCCUCGUUGAAAGAGAUGGACAAAGGCAACCCUGUGAGGCUUGUUCUGACUGUCAAUGGACAGGUAAAAGGAUUGACACUUUCCUCUCUUCCUGUCCCAGGUUCCAAAGGUUGUCACUUGUCAGCCCCAGAACCUCCUCUCCCUGCUCUCCUUUUUCUUCUCUGCUACUCCAAGGUAGAGCUGACAAACAUAGAUCUGUUAAUGCAUAUCUGUGCAGAACCUGAAACCUGUGUGAUGCUCCAGGCCUAUUCUCUGAACAGUUUUGCCAUAACACCUUGUGUGUUGCAGGAGACGGGCAGCUGACAGCUGUUCACUUCCAGUCCCACUAUCUCCUGAGUCUUUGGUACUUACAGAGUUGUUUCACCUUGAGCUGAAGCCACUGGAUUUAGCAUCUUGCAGUGUCUGGCUUUCCUUUUAUGUGCUUGUUUUGUUGGUGUGGGACAUAAAAGGCAGGUUAUUCCAUUGCAGGAAAUCUGUCCCUUGCAAGACAUGUUUUUGCUCAUCCUUUGUGUGGAUGGAGGUUAACACCCUUAGGGCCUUUUAUUCUGUUGCUGUUUCUGCUGCAGCUGCUCCGAGGUGUCUCCAGCAGUACACCUGUCCAUCCCUUCCUUGUACCAGAAACCACCCAGUCACCAGUGCUCCCAGCAGAUGACAGGCCCCUUGGCCAGGACCUGGAGGAUCCUACUGGGGUAUGUGUAUUUUGGAGUCACCUUCUUGUUAUUUCACUUUUUUUCUUAGUAUCUUCUCCCUUACCAGUAGCCAUUCAGUUGAUGUCUAACUGAAACAUUUGCUGCUAUUUUUUCAGUGGAGAUAAGGUAAGCAAGUUCUGGAGGCAAAGUUUCUCUUGUGCUGAAUAAAGAUAUAUUCUCCAUUGAAAUGCCUUUUUAA
rnacentral:lncRNA from 1 species